rnacentral:tRNA from 1 species
GCAUUGGUGGUCCAGUGGUAGAAUUCUUACCUUCUAUGCAGAAGACCCUGGCUCGAUCCCCGGCCAACGCA